UCUGUGCGGUUAAGUGUGAAGCUAGCGGGGAACCCGGAGGGCGCUGCGGGACCUAUUCUCCCGGUCCGGGACUACUCAAGGCAUCACAGGACCUGUGAAGGAACCAGAGGGCCAGGUCCGCCCCUGCCGCAAGGUGGCGACAGAUCCCGCUGGGCGCACCUGAAGUUGCCCCAGAUCCCAGCCUCCUGCUCCUUCCUCCUGCGACCAGUGAGGCUGAGCCAAAAGGACUGGCAGUGCCCGGGACCCUGAGCCGAGGCCUGGCGGAGGAACCGCGGACUCCGGACAGACGGACCUCUGUUAUUUGAGCUACAACCUGAAGUACUACUUGAAUUUCAUUAAAUGCUGUUGUGCAUCCAUGGAGAAGACCUCAUGUUUUUCUUCCUUUACCCCAUCAAUGUGUGAGAGAGAGGAAGAAUGAGAGAGGGAGAGAGAGAAACAUCGAUGUGAGAGAGAAGCAUCGGCUUGUUGCCUCCGUUCUGGACCAGAAACACAACAGAGGGGGAGAAGGAAGGGAGAAAGAGAGAAACAUUGAUCUGUUGUCUGUAGCACGCCCCCAACCAGGGACCUGGCCCACAAGCUGGGCAUGUGCACUGACCAGGAAUCUAGCCUCUUGCUUCGUGGGACAACAAUGCCCAUCCACUGAGCCACACCAGUCAGGACCCUUUUCAUUUUCUUAAUGGUGUCUAUUAAGGAAGAGAAGUUGUUGAUUUUGAUUCUCUAAUUAAUCAAUUUUUUUCCUUAGUGGCUCCUGGUUUUAUAUUUUGUCUAAAAAAUUGCCAGUCCCCAACUCAUGAAGAUGUUCUUUCAUUCUUUCUUCUAAAAGCUUUAUAGUUGUAGCUUUUUCACGUAGAUCUAUGAUCCUUCUGUAACUAAUUUUUGUGUUUGGCAUGAGAUAGGGGUCAAGUUUAGUUUUUGUUUGCAAUGUAUAUCCAAUUGUUUUAGAACCAUUUGUUAAAAAUAUGUUUCUUUCUAUAUUAAAUUGCUUAGGUGAUUUUUUUAUGUCAAAAAUCAGUUGACCAUAUAUAUGUAGAUGUAUUUCUAGGCUCUCUUUGUUGUACUAAUCUAUAUUGUACUUGUGCUUAUAUUACAUGGUUUUGACUACUGUAGCUUUAUGAUGAAACUUGAAGUUUAGUAGUGUACAUCUUUGUUAUUCUUUAAGUUUAUGUUGACUACUUUAGGUUCUUUGUUUCCACAUGAAUUCGAGGUCAUCUCAUCAAUUCUACUUUAGAAGAGUACAAGUGUUGAUAGCGGUCAUCUCUGCCUUGCUCUUGCUUAGGCAUAAAACAUUAUACAUUGCAUUAUUGCACUUUCCAUAGAUGUUCUUUAUCUGAUUAAGGUAGCUCCUAUUUAUUUCUAGUUUGCUGAGAGUUUGGGGUUUCCAAAAUUAUGAAUGGGUGUUGCAUUUGGUCAAAUACUUUCUAUCUAAAGACAUGAUCAUGCAAUAUAUUGUUAACAGUUUAUUACCUUGAC